rnacentral:lncRNA from 1 species
AAAAAUACUUAAGAAAUUGAGUAAUGACCUAGUAAGUGUAUUUUAAACAGAAAAUGCCUCCAAGGAGACAUCUACCACGGCAACAAACCCCUGAGGGGUCUACCAAUAAUUACAACGCUGAUGCUAACCCAGUUCAACAGUUGGUGAUAUUAUUGACAGGAGCACUUCAAAACUAGCCGCAGAAUCAAGCUGCGACCUUUAAAGAUUUUAAGGCGAUUAGACCACCAGAGUUUCGUGGG